GAUUAAUACCCGCUGCAACGCCUGCGCCCCCCAUCCCAGCGCUACCGCACCUCCGCGGCGCGGAGCUGAGCGCGACGCAGCCGGCUCUCCAGCCGAGCGUUCUGCAAUCCCCGGAGCCCAGGCUGCUUUCCGCCCGGUGACUGCAGGGGUCGUUCUUGCCCCGCGCAAAGCGCUGCCCGGCCACGGCCGCGCUGCCCCCGCCGCUGCCGCUCCCCGGGGCCGCUCCGACCUCGGCCGCGCAGCUCGGCGGCCCCGGGAGGGGCUGCGGUCGGGGCCGGGGGGGCACCGGCACUCGUCCCCUCCCCCUCAAAUCCAAAUCCCAACCUGCAGAAGUGGAGGCUGCAGGGAGCCGGGGUUUGUGCGCAUCGCUGGCCGGCUUCGCUAAGGAUGCCGAUAUUUUAAAACUUAUUUAAAGGAGGAAAAGAAAAAGAAACCCAAACUUCUCCCGGGUUUGGCGGUAGAAGGGCAACGUGAGCGCACGAGCAAGACUUAGGGAAGUACUUGUGCUGCAGUGCACAGCUAAUUGCAUUUCCCGAUCCACAGUAGUUCUGCAGAGAUACCUUCCCCCCUCCCCGUCCCCAAACAAGUACUGCCGAUUUUGGGGCAAUCUCUUACUUACCCCCAAAUCCUCCCGCUUUUUACUGUGUUUCAGCUCAUCAGAUUUGUCACUCUCGCCUGCAGUCCCAAAAACAAACCGAGGUCAAGCUCCGAGCGCGCGCUGCAACCACCUACCACCACCUUUAGCUGCAAGGAGAGGUGCACCUGGAGAGGUUGGGCUUCCCGUUCCGCAGAAAGGGGAAACAGUGCAGAAAGGCAGCGACGAGGGGCUGGGAGCUGCGCAGCGCUGAGCGGGCAGUGCGUGGGGGGCUGCCCCGGGCCGCCCUGCCGCUAUCGGGAGGGGGGAGCAGAAGCUUCGGGUCGCAAAUAAAAAUCCCGGUUGAGAAGGAUGUGAAAUGGUGAUCCUGCAACCGCUCAGACCGCGGGUGCCUUCAUUGAUCACUGCACGGCAGAGGGAAAGGGGAGGGAGGGGGAUGCUUCGGGUUUCAAAGAGAUAUCCCGGCUCGUGGCAGGUACGCGGAGGUCAUAUUAUGAAUACUCCAGCGGGAGUUGCAUGCAUAAUAGAUUGAAUAUAGGUUGGUUUAUAAACAGCAAGCCCAGGGCUUCUUGGAAAACGCACCUUUGCCUGGAUUCUAGUGAAAUGGGAACGCCUCUGAGUGGGGAAGGAAGGAGGGGAUCUAUACAAGAAUAACCACAGGCUUGGCUAUUACUGUCAUCAGCUCUGAGAAAUAUGUAGGAGUCGCAGGUUUCGAGUCAUCCCGUCAGUAUUUAUUUGCAGUAGAAAAGAUUUCUUGAGUGAUUCAAAGACACUGAAUGGGACAAAAUCAUCAGUGUUUGAAAGCACGAAUCAGACUGUAGACACUUAGUAGUCAGUGUAAUUCCUUCUAUGGAUUUUGGUAGUUUUAUGGUAGCAUCCUUGCACUGCAGCAGUGUCUGCUGAUGCUUACUCUCUCUCCUCUGAUGGGUUAUAAAAGAGACUCAGGAUUUUAAGGAGGUGUUUGCCAUCUUCUGGCCAGUAAGAUCAGCUAAGUGUAGCUGGGCAGGAGCCACUGUUAUUCAAGUCUUUAAGGACACAUAGCUUAACUUAAAGAAUUUUCAUAAUUUUUGAUGGAUUUUCAGUAAACAAUGAGAUGGCAUAGCAGGAGGGAUUUCUUUUCUUUGUGGGAUUUGGUUUGAAUACUUGAAUUUAAGGAAUAGGAAUUAUCUAUCUUUGGCAAAAUGAAACGUAUAGGAGUUAGGGAACGAAGGCACCCUGUGGGUGAGCAGGCUUUUAUCAAGUAUGUCACUGUAUAGAUAUACCUGUGGGCUUUGAACAAGUUGUCCAGGAGAAACAGACUAGUGCAGAUUUUGAAAGAUGUUGAAAUAAGAUUUGCAUCUUGUUCUUGAAAAGUUAAUGAAAUAGGAACUGCAGGGAGCUCUUCUUUAGGAUCACAUUAAAUAAAGACAAGAAAGCAGAAGAAACGAUUACUAUU
ensembl:lncRNA